rnacentral:rRNA from 1 species
GAUUAUGGCUCAGAACGAACGCUGGUAGCGUGGAUUAGGCAUGCAAGUCGAACGGGGAUCGCCCGGAUAGCAAUAUUCGGGCGUGAGAGUGGCGGAUUGGGGAGGAACACGUGAGCAACCUGCCCUUGGACGGGGAAAACCGUUGGAAACGACGGCUAAUACCGGAUGCGGCGUGGCGGGACAUCCCGGCCAACGUCAAAGGGGGCCGCAAGGCUCCCGCCCCGAGGAGGGGCUCGCGCACCAUCAGCUUGUUGGCGGGGUAAACGGCCCACCAAGGCUCACGGUUAGCUGGUCUGAGAGGAUGGCCAGCCCCCACUGGGACUGAGAUACUGCCCAGACUCCUACGGGAGGCUGCAGUCGAGGAUCAUUCGCAAUGGGCGAAAGCCUGACGAUGCGACGCUGCGUGGAGGAUAGAAGGCCCUCGGGUCGUAAACUCCUGUCAUGAAGGGAAAGGCGAGGGCGCCCAACACGCGCCUUAGUUGAUGGUACCUCAAGAGGAAGGGACGGCUAACUCUGUGCCAGCAGCCGC